AUUGAACGCUGGCGGCAGGCCUAACACAUGCAAGUCGAACGAGUGGCGGACGGGUGAGUAAUGUCUGGGAAACUGCCCGAUGGAGGGGGAUAACUACUGGAAACGGUAGCUAAUACCGCAUACCAUCGGAUGUGCCCAGAUGGGAUGAGCUAGUAGGUGGGGUAACGGCUCACCUAGGCGACGAUCCCUAGCUGGUCUGAGAGGAGGACCAGCAACACUGGAACGGAGAAACGGCCCAGACUCUAACGGUAGGCAGCAGUGGGGAAUAUUGCACAAGGGGCGAAAGCCGGAUGCAGAAAUGCCGCGUGUAUGAAGAAGGCCUUCGGGUUGUAAAGUACUUUCAGAGAGGAGGCGUUACUCGCAGAAGAAGCACCGGCUAACUCCGUGCCAGCCGCAGCGGUAAUAC
rnacentral:rRNA from 1 species